UUAAUGUCCUUACUGUCACAUAAAUGUUACAAAUUUGACUUUAAAACAACCCAAUGAUAAAAUAUUUUUCAGAAGAGAAAGGACAAGCUUUGGGGACUACAAUACUUAAGACUUGUGAUUCAGGAAGAACACAGACUUAACCUGCGGUCARGAGUCAUUCAGAAGGCAUUAAAAAUUCAAGAAGGGGUCAAAAUUGAAAUUACAUUGAACAAGAUAUUUUGUCAUGAGCUAGUGGCCUGRAUAACCUUAAUAAGAAAUGUAUGUACGUACUCAGGAGAAGGGGAUGUGAAUAACUGAAAGUGCCCAGGCUUUUGACAGGCUCUUCCAUGUCACCCACCCAGCCUGCAGAGCAGGUCAUGGUUUGGAUAGCUUGGGAAUACCUGCACUUGUGGUAAUCUUAAUUAAAGGUGGAUGRAUGCAGCUGAAUUCAACAGUUUCAAGUAGCCAAGUUUAGAUUUUUAACCAGAAAGCCAGAAGGCUUUGGAGAACAGCUCUCAAAUUCAAAUUUACCCCAUCUUAUUGGAAUUUGGAUCAGACAGGAGUGUCUUGGCAUGACCUGUGCUUACUUCUCCCAAGAAGUCUGCAGCCCUGUGAUUUACAUCUAGACCUUUGAGGCUUCCUAAUAACUAUUGCCAGAAAUAUGCACAAAUAAUUCMCAGCAGCCUGUGGUGACUUGUUGAAUGGUGCAUUAAACCUGAAGAAGAGGUAUUUAUGCC